AGAGUACGUGAAACCGUUCAGGGGUAAACCUGAGAAACCCGAAAGGUCGAAAGGGGAGAUUCAGCGUGUCUCGAUUGCGGCGCUGGACGGUCGUGCGACGGAAGACGUACGCGUCAUCCGCACCUUCCGUCCUCCGAACCGUAGUCGAACGCGUGCACUUCUCCCCCUGUAGGACGUCGCGAUCCGUUGGGUGCCGGCCUAAGGCCCGCAAUGGAGCCCGUUCGGACGGUUUACCGUUGCGGACGAACUUGCGGUGUUUCCCGGUCGGCUCGCUCGACGGUAUACAGAUGGCGCGGGGCCGCUACACAUUAGUUAGCGUCCGACCGGCGGCAAGCGCGCUCGUCGUGACGGUGAUCGGACCUGGUGCCGGUCCUGUCCCCGAGUGGCUGUUCGCUGCCGUGUUCUCGGACAGACCUCGUCGAAACGCCGAUCUGCGACGCUAUAGCUUUGGGUACUUUCAGGACCCGUCUUG
rnacentral:rRNA from 1 species